UACGUAGGGUGCAAGCGUUAAUCGGAAUUACUGGGCGUAAAGCGUGCGCAGGCGGUUAUGCAAGACAGAGGUGAAAUCCCCGGGCUCAACCUGGGAACUGCCUUUGUGACUGCAUGGCUAGAGUGCGGCAGAGGGGGAUGGAAUUCCGCGUGUAGCAGUGAAAUGCGUAGAUAUGCGGAGGAACACCGAUGGCGAAGGCAAUCCCCUGGGCCUGCACUGACGCUCAUGCACGAAAGCGUGGGGAGCAAACAGG
rnacentral:rRNA from 2 species